AGCGGCGAACGGGUGAGUAACACGUGGGUGACUUGCCCCGAAGAUGGGGAUAACCUAGUGGAAACGGGGGCUAAUACCCAAUGUGCUCGGUGAUUCGGUUCAUCGAGUAAAGCUCCGGCGCUUCGGGAGAGGCCUGCGGCCCAUCAGCUAGUUGGUAGGGUAACGGCCUACCAAGGCAGAGACGGGUAGGGGGCGUGAGAGCGCGGACCCCCACACUGGCACUGAGAUACGGGCCAGACUCCUACGGGAGGCAGCAGUAAGGGAUAUUGCGCAAUGGACGAAAGUCAGACGCAGCGACGCCGUUUGGGCGAUGAAGGCCUUCGGGUUGUAAAGCCCUUUUAUGGGGGAAGAGAAAAAGGACGGUACCCCAGGAAUAAGUCCCGGCUAACUACGUGCCAGCAGCCGCGGUAAAACGUAGGGGACAAGCGUUAUCCGGAUUCACUGGGCGUAAAGAGCGUUGAGGCGGUUCCGUAAGUUGGGCGUGAAAGCUCCGGGCUUAACUCGGAGAUGUCGUUCAAUACUGCGGGGCUUGAGGACAGCAGAGGAAGGUGGAAUUCCCGGUGUAGUGGUGAAAUGCGUAGAUCUCGGGAGGAACACCCGUGGCGAAGGCGGCCUUCUGUGCUGUUCCUGACGCCUGAAGGCGAAAGCUAGGGGAACGAACGGGAUUAGAUACCCCGGGUAGUCCUAGCUGUAACGAUGGAUGCUGCGUGUGGGGGGGUGUAAAU
rnacentral:rRNA from 1 species